AGUGAACGCUGGCGGUAGGCCUAACACAUGCAAGUCGAACGGCAGCACAGUAAGAGCUUGCUCUUACGGGUGGCGAGUGGCGGACGGGUGAGGAAUACAUCGGAAUCUACUUUUUCGUGGGGGAUAACGUAGGGAAACUUACGCUAAUACCGCAUACGACCUACGGGUGAAAGCAGGGGAUCUUCGGACCUUGCGCGAUUGAAUGAGCCGAUGUCGGAUUAGCUAGUUGGCGGGGUAGAGGCCCACCAAGGCGACGAUCCGUAGCUGGUCUGAGAGGAUGAUCGGCCACACUGGAACUGAGACACGGUCCAGACUCCUACGGGAGGCAGCAGUGGGGAAUAUUGGACAAUGGGCGCAAGCCUGAUCCAGCCAUACCGCGUGGGUGAAGAAGGCCUUCGGGUUGUAAAGCCCUUUUGUUGGGAAAGAAAAGCAGCAGGUUAAUACCCCGCUGUUCUGACGGUACCCAAAGAAUAAGCACCGGCUAACUUCGU
rnacentral:rRNA from 1 species